rnacentral:rRNA from 1 species
GACGAACGCUGGCGGCGUGCUUAACACAUGCAAGUCGAACGGAAAGGCCUGCUUUCCCUUGUGGAUUGCGGGUACUCGAGUGGCGAACGGGUGAGUAACACGUGAGUGAUCUGCCCCCAACUUGGGUAUAAGCCUGGGAAACUGGGUCUAAUUCCCGAUAGGACUGCAGGGUGGUGCCUGUGGUGGAAAACGAUUUUCUAGUGGUUGGGGAUGAGCUCGCGGCCUAUCAGCUUGUUGGUGGGGUAAUGGCCUACCAAGGCGGCGACGGGUAGCCGGCCUGAGAGGGUGGACGGCCACAUUGGGACUGAGAUACGGCCCAGACGCCUACGGGAGGCAGCAGUGGGGAAUAUUGCACAAUGGGCGGAAGCCUGAUGCAGCGACGCCGCGUGGGGGAUGACGGCCUUCGGGUUGCAAACUCCUUUCGACCGCGAGGAAGCCACCUGGUUGGAAGGGUGGUGACGGUAGUGGUAGAAGAAGCACCGGCUAACUACGUG